CCCUCGUAUAUUCCAUCAAAGUCUCUUUAACAACGUUAUGUUAAAUAUUUAAAAAAAAUGAAAAAUAAGGAUUUUAUGAGCGAGUUAUGGUAUUUGCCUUAACAUGACAAGACUAAUGUUUAAUUAUUAACAUGAUUUACAUGUACCUUAACAUCAAGUCAAUUAGUUUUAAUGUUUUUCUUCUGAUUUUUGUUCAAUAAACAAUUCAUUAAAGUGAACAUACGGUGUAGUUUACAUUGUAAAUAUUUUUUAAUAUUAGGAAAGCAAAACUUCUGAUUCCAAUAUAAAUGAAAAAGUUGUUAACAGGAUUAAAAAGUUAUUGGGAAUGCCCAUAUGCAAUUGUCAUUGGUUUUGAAUUCUAAGAAUUCUGUUAUUUUUGUUAAUUUACCUAGACCUUUGGUAGAUGUUUUCUCUCCUUUACUCGAAAAUGUUGUUUCCCAACUUUGAUAUACCACAUUUUUCACCCAACUGUCUUUCUUUGCAAUAUUGAAGAUUGCACAAGCAAUAAAAUUAUUACCACUGAU
rnacentral:misc_RNA from 1 species